rnacentral:snoRNA from 1 species
UGGAAAUUAUGAAAGGUAACUGGAUAUUUGUGUGUGUGUGUGAGAGAGAGAUUGGAAACAUUCUAAUUUAACACUUUAAUAUUAUGUUAAUGUUUUAUAAUGUGUUUUUGAGAGAGAGGAAUGUACAAAGGCUGCAUGGGGGCACUGAUGAAAUGCUGAUUUCAGAGUGCAUCUGAGACGUUGAAAUUUUGAGAAGGGUGUUGUUUUGUUUUGCACAUUGCCAGUGAUAAGUGCCCAAAAUAAGCUCACCAGCUGAAUAUAGACAAUCUAAAGAUCUCUGACAGGUUCAUUGACAUAAAUGAUCCCAUGAUUUGAUCCAA